rnacentral:rRNA from 1 species
UACAGAGGUCUCAAGCGUUGUUCGGAUUCAUUGGGCGUAAAGGGCUCGUAGGCGGCCAACUAAGUCAGACGUGAAAUCCCUCGGCUUAACCGGGGAACUGCGUCUGAUACUGGAUGGCUUGAAUCCGGGAGAGGGAUGCGGAAUUCCAGGUGUAGCGGUGAAAUGCGUAGAUAUCUGGAGGAACACCGGUGGCGAAGGCGGCAUCCUGGACCGACACUGACACUGAGGAGCGAAAGCCAGGGGAGCAAACGGG